rnacentral:rRNA from 1 species
CAGUCGCCACGGGAAUACGAACCGUGCGAACGUUAUUCGGAAUUACUGGGCUUAAAGCGCGUGUAGGCGGGUCGGCACGUCGGUCGCUGAAAUCCCCCGGCUCAACCGGGGAAGUGGCGCCGAUACGGCCGGCCUGGAGGGGGGUAGGGGGGCCUGGAACUUCCGGUGGAGCGGUGAAAUGCGUUGAGAUCGGAAAGAACACCAACGGCGAAAGCACUCUGCUGGGCCGACACUGACACUGAGAGACGAAAGCUAGGGGAGCAAAUGGGAUUAGAUACCCCCGUAGUCCCUGUCUCUUAUU